CAAAGGAGCUGAAAGAGAGUAUACUUCUUUAUUGAAAGCAAAAUGGUGCAACCAACUUCUACCAUAUGGAAGCAUUUCCACACUGCAAGUUAUUCUGA